GAGUAGGGACCCAAAUGGUUGAGGGAGUAAGCUGUAAACUUAUGGGCAUUAGCCGUAGUGUGUUCGAUUCGCAUCCUACUCA
rnacentral:tRNA from 5 species